rnacentral:lncRNA from 1 species
UAAGAAUAAAAGUAAGUUAUUUGCUAGCUUCAGAGAACCCUCUAAGUAAUAUCAUUAAAGAUCAUCAAACCAAUCCCGUUGUUCAAGUUGAGGCUGUUAUUUCACUUUCAAGUUACUAAGAUCAAGGAGGGUAACGUUCUUAUAAUAGACACUCAGCUCGUUUCCCCCGGAUAACUUGUUCAGCCGUAUUCUUAUCAGAAUUGGGAACAUAAGGUUAAUCAUUAAUUAUUUUGAGGCCUGGACACCUUGCGAAUGUUUAACGUUUCUCUUACAAUGCCGUUGUAGCUGAUUUUGUUAUAGCUGGUUAUUUUUUCAGAAGUAGACAAUUGCCUUGCGAAAAUCAGGAGGCCUUUUUGGCCUGAGGUCAUCAAAGUAUUGCUCCAUCUGUGCUGAACUAAUUGUCCCAAAGGGACACUUUCCCAAACACUUAACUUACUCUUGGUUGUGGUUAGAGUGUAGUUAUAAUAGCCAUUGCAUGGUGGUUAAAACAGAUUCAGUCUUGAUGAAAGGUGAGGCAGCGGCAAGACAGACUUUGUAUAUCAUAGUUCUUAUUUGCAAAGGUCCUUUCAUGUGGCUCGCGCAUUGCUCCCUUAUGCAUAUGCUGACUUGUCUUUAAUCUGCUUAUCUG